UGACCUCGAAUCAGGUAGGGAUACCCGCUGAACUUAAGCAUAUCAAUAAGCGG
rnacentral:rRNA from 1 species